ensembl:lncRNA
AGAUGGAUCAUUUUGUGCACUUAAACUUGUGCCCUCUGAGGGUUUAAAGGUUCACAUUAUAGCUCUGUGCAGUAUCUUCCCUGUUCUCCUGAUGCACUUAAGUAUUUAAACAUCACAUGUGAAGUGUUUUGAAGCACCUACCAACACAGCAGCCUUGGGCUUUGGCCACUGAGCAGCGCUGCCUUUCAGACUCACCAUUCAAAGACAUCGUGCUUGGUUUUCCUUUGACAGCUUCCACAGUUGUGCUGCUUGGGGACACUGAGCUGCAGCCUCAGGAGGGCAUCAGCAAAGGAACCACUGAGGAGUGUAGAGAAAGCCAAUGGGAGGACAGCAUCAGCUCUGUGUUUCCAGAAGUGCUGAUCAUGCCAAGAAUUCCUGUAUCCUACAAGUUCACUGCAUCCCAAACCUGAGUCAAACACUGAGAGCAAGGAGCACGUUUCCAGGCCAGCCUCUAUAAAUUCAAUGAGCAACUCUUUCUUUGUGCUCAGGCUGAGUAAUCAAGAUGACAACA